GCCACACGGGGCGGGGGCACGGGUCCGGGGCCUACGGGAGGCAGCAGUGGGGAAUUUUGGACAAUGGGCGAAAGCCUGAUCCAGCAAUGCCGCGUGCAGGAUGAAGGCCUUCGGGUUGUAAACUGCUUUUGUACGGAACGAAACGGUUUGCCUUAAUACGGUGGGCUAAUGACGGUACCGUAAGAAUAAGCACCGGCUAACUACGUGCCAGCAGGCGCGGUAAUA
rnacentral:rRNA from 1 species